rnacentral:rRNA from 1 species
GAUGAACGCUGGCGGCGUGCUUAACACAUGCAAGUCGAACGAGAAUCUAUGGAUAGAGGAUUCGUCCAAUUGAAGUAGAGGAAAGUGGCGGACGGGUGAGUAACGCGUGGGUAACCUGCCUCGUACAGGGGGAUAACAGUUAGAAAUGACUGCUAAUACCGCAUAACCCGCUAAGGUCGCAUGACCUAGACGGAAAAGAUUUAUCGGUACGAGAUGGACCCGCGUCUGAUUAGCUAGUUGGUGAGGUAACGGCUCACCAAGGCGACGAUCAGUAGCCGGCCUGAGAGGGUGACCGGCCACAUUGGGACUGAGACACGGCCCAAACUCCUACGGGAGGCAGCAGUGGGGAAUAUUGCACAAUGGGGGAAACCCUGAUGCAGCAACGCCGCGUGAGUGAAGAAGUAUUUCGGUAUGUAAAGCUCUAUCAGCAGGGAAGAAAAUGACGGUACCUGACUAAGAAGCCCCGGCUAACUACGUG